rnacentral:rRNA from 1 species
CUGCUGCCUUCCGUAGGAGUUUGGUCCGUGUCUCAGUACCAAUGUGGGGGGUUAACCUCUCAGUCCCCCUAUGUAUCGUUGUCUUGGUGAGCCGUUACCCCACCAACUAACUGAUACAACGCAUGCCCAUCCAUUACCACCGGAGUUUUCAACCCAAGAAGAUGCCUCCCUGGAUGUUAUGGGGUAUUAGUACCGAUUUCUCAGUGUUAUCCCCCUGUAAUGGGUAGGUUGCAUACGCGUUACGCACCCGUGCGCCGGUCGCCGACAUAG